UGCGCGGCGCCGCGGGGCCUUAGCGGACGGAGGGGAGCGCGGGGGUCACCGGGCCGGGCCGGCAGCCCUAGAGCUCGGCCUGGCGGGGACCCUGGGCCAGCCCCGCGCCUCCGUGGCCCGGGCGUCUCGUGCGUGUCCGCGAACUCGCGUGCGCGCGUCACCUCGGACCGCAGCAUGGCUCGGAGGGCGGCCCUACUCGCGCCGCCCUAGUGCUGCGAAGGGCCUCGGAGCCCAAACCCGGAACCGCCAUCUGGGACUGGGAAGACGACAUGGCCAGAAGCCGGUGGAGUCUCGCUCUGUCACCCAGGCUGGAGUGCAAUGGCACGGUCUCAGCUCACUGCAACCUCUGCCUCCCAGAUUCAAGCAAUUCUGCCUCAACCUCCUGAGUAGCUGGGACUACAGGCACGUGUCACCACGCCCAGCUAUUUUUUUUUUUUUUUUUUUUUUUUUGAGACAGAGUCUCCCUCUGUCGCCCAGGCUGGAGUGCAAUGGCGCAAUCUCAGCUCACUGCAAGCUCCGCCUCCCCGGUUCCCGCCAUUCUCUUGCCUCAGCCUCCCGAGUAGCUGGCACUACAGGCGCCUGCCACCCAUGACCGGGUAAUUUUUUUUGUAUUUUUUAGUAGAGACGGGGUUUCACUGUGUUAGCCAGGAUGGUCUCGAUCUCCUGACCUCAUGAUCCGCCCGCCUCGGCCUCCCAAAGUGCUGGGAUUACAGGCGUGAGCCACCAUGCCCGGCCUUAAUAACUUUUUAAAGGAUGUCAAGUUAAUGGAAUGUAUUCUGCUUUAGAAAAUAAAACUCUUAGGUUUUCAAAACUUAGCAGCCCCAGCAUUACCAAGGGCCUGCCUACCGUUUACAGUAUGUGAAUCCUACUUCCUUUUCAUGGUUGUAAGACUGGGAUUUUCUGGGAGCCGACCUGCAGGAGUCCACAGGCCACCCGUUAGGACUGUGCACGCUCCUCCACAAACAUGCCUGUGGGGGGAUCCUUGGCUCUCUCUGCAGGGGUGCGUUGGGUGUGCACCAGCUGGGAAGGAAGGAUCUGUCGGAACUGCAAUCAAAGCCACGGCAGGCCUCCCAGGGUCUUACUGGUGGUGAAAACAACCAGCUUCCUCGUCCCUCCCUCAAGCAUGGCAACCACCGCCCUGAGACUCAAAGAUACCUGGAGGAGUGUGAUCGGGCUGACCUGUUGCUCUUAUCUGGAAUUCUUUGAGGGUGAUGGGAGAUCACUUCUUUUUUUUUUUUUUUUUUUUUUUUGAGACAGGAUCUUGUUUUGUCAACCAGGCUGGAGUGCAGGUUCAGGUGAUUCUUCCGCCUCAGCCUCCCCAAGUAGGCUGAGUAGCUGAGAAAACAGAUGCGCACCACCAUGCCUGGUUAAUUUUUGGAUGUUUUGCAGCCAUGUGGUUUCACCAUGUUGUCCAGUCUGGUCUUGAACUCCUGAGCUCAAGGGAUCCUCCCACCUCGGCCUCCCAAAGCAUUGAGAUUACAGGUAUGAGCCACUGUACCCGGCUACCCAGGAGAUUACUAUUUUUUGGCAUAAAACCAAACAAAACUAUUCAUUAGUUUAUCCACUCAACAUUGAUUUAUUAUUCCUGACUGCAGCCAACAACAUUGUGAAUACUUUCCCUGCCUCAAGCUCUGUUCUAGGUCCUAGAACAUUCAUGACAAUUUGUUUCUCUGCCCUCUGGCAGGUGAGAAAACUUUGUAAGAAGUUUCAAUAGCAAAAAGUAUGAGAAGAUGUACAAUAGAUCUGGGACUAUUUGUAACAAACCCGGUGGAAGAUGUAGGAGCAGAGGUGGAAGGCCUUAAAGAGGGUCCUGCGCAUGCCGGGCGGGCCUCCAACAGAGAAAACACACAACCUGGCC
rnacentral:lncRNA from 1 species